AUUGAACGCUGGCGGCAGGCCUAACACAUGCAAGUCGAGCGAGCGGCGGACGGGUGAGGAAUGUCUGGGAAACUGCCUGAUGGAGGGGGAUAACUACUGGAAACGGUAGCUAAUACCGCAUACCAUCAGAUGUGCCCAGAUGGGAUUAGCUAGUAGGUGGGGUAACCUCGCACCUAGGCGACGAUCCCUAGCUGGUCUGAGAGGAUGACCAGAAGACCUGGAACUGAGACACGGUCCAGACUCCUACGGUAGGCGUCAGUGGGGAAUAUUGCACAAUGUGCGCAAGCCUGAUGCAGCCAUGCCGCGUGUGUGAAGAAGGCCUUCGGGUUUGAAAGCACUUUCAGCGGGGAGGCGUUACCCGCAGAAGAAGCACCGGCUAACUCCGUGCCAGCAGCCGCGGUAAUUC
rnacentral:rRNA from 1 species